rnacentral:tRNA from 1 species
GGAAACUUGGCUUAGUGGUAGAGUGCUUGCCUUGUAUGCAUGAAGCCCUGGGUUUGAUUCCUCAGUACCA